rnacentral:rRNA from 1 species
UGGGGAAUAUUGCGCAAUGGGCGAAAGCCUGACGCAGCGACGCCGCGUGAGGGAUGAAGGCCUUCGGGUUGUAAACCUCUUUCAGCAGGGACGAAGCGAAAGUGACGGUACCUGCAGAAGAAGCACCGGCUAACUACGUGCCAGCAGCCGCGGUAAUACGUAGGGUGCAAGCAUUGUCCGGAUUUAUUGGGCGUAAAGAGCUCGUAGGCGGCUUGUCACGUCGGGUGUGAAAACUCGGGGCUCAACCCCGAGCCGGCACUCGAUACGGGCUAGCUAGAGUAUUGCAGGGGAGACUGGAAUUCCUGGUGUAGCGGUGAAAUGCGCAGAUAUCAGGAGGAACACCGGUGGCGAAGGCGGGUCUCUGGGCAAUUACUGACGCUGAGGAGCGAAAGCGUGGGGAGCAAACAGG